UACGUAGGUGGCAAGCGUUGUCCGGAAUUAUUGGGCGUAAAGCGCGCGCAGGUGGUUUCUUAAGUCUGAUGUGAAAGCCCACGGCUCAACCGUGGAGGGUCAUUGGAAACUGGGGAACUUGAGUGCAGAAGAGGAUAGUGGAAUUCCAAGUGUAGCGAUGAAAUGCGUAGAGAUUUGGAGGAACACCAGUGGCGAAGGCGACUAUCUGGUCUGUAACUGACACUGAGGCGCGAAAGCGUGGGGAGCAAACAGG
rnacentral:rRNA from 1 species